UACGUAGGUCCCGAGCGUUGUCCGGAUUUAUUGGGCGUAAAGCGAGCGCAGGUGGUUUAUUAAGUCUGGUGUAAAAGGCAGUGGCUCAACCAUUGUAUGCAUUGGAAACUGGUAGACUUGAGUGCAGGAGAGGAGAGUGGAAUUCCAUGUGUAGCGGUGAAAUGCGUAGAUAUAAGGAGGAACACCGGUGGCGAAAGCGGCUCUCUGGCCUGUAACUGACACUGAGGCUCGAAAGCGUGGGGAGCAAACAGG
rnacentral:rRNA from 1 species